rnacentral:rRNA from 1 species
GAAGUUGGAUUCGCUAGUAAUCGCGCAUCAGUCAUGGCGCGGUGAAUACGUUCCCGGGCCUUGUACACACCGCCCGUCAAGCCAUGGGAGCCGGGGUGCCUGAAGUUCGUUACCGUAAGGAUCGACCUAGGGCAAAACUGGUGACUGGGGCUAAGUCGUAACAAGGUAUC